GCCGAGAGAUGAGUUUGGAUUGGUCUGCGGAGUGGCAUCUUGUAUCUAUAAAAUGAGCAGCUCAUAAUGCCUAGAUAAUCCUUUCUACUGCUUUAAAAAAAAAAUAACAUUAGCCAUGGAGAACUGCACAUAUGUUGCUACUGCUCUCAAUAACAUUGCUCCCCUGAAUUUAUCAGGCACUAUCGACAAAGGUCAGUGGUAAAAAGUUGGACUACUUUUUGGACUAUGAAUGCUGACUCACUCUCACUCAGAAAAGAACAUGUUUUGAAAUCAGUGGAACACAACAGGCCAAACAAGCUGUGCAAACUAAACGGAAACAAAGGAUGUCUUAUAAAAGGUUUGCAGUCUGCCGUGAAGCUUUCAUCCAUGUAUACAGCAUCAAUUAGUAGAACAUGCCUGACUCUAAUCCACCAGUCAUACAGUCAUCAAAAAGAGAGCUAGCGCAAGAAAAGGCAGCAGCGUAGUCAUCAACUACAUGCGCCAUUUCUUCACCUACUACAGAGUUGGGAUAACACGUAUGAACCUGAAUUGUGAUAACUGCAGUGGCCAAAACAAGAACAAUUUUGUGCUCUGGUAUUGUGCCUGGUGGACCAUGCACAGGCUCCACCACAAUCUGGACCUUCACUUCCUGAUCACUGUUAGGGUUGCGUCAAUUCGAAUCUGGUAUCAGGAUAAAUAUGAUAUUGAGUCACCGGUUGUGUACUAUAUAUUUUUUAUUAGCUAAGUAAUCAGUGGUAAAUGCAAUUUUCAUAUAUACGGGCUCUCUGUCACACCUCGCAGGGCAAACAGAGAACUGACUUGUUCCUGACAAAUAUAUUAUAAUAUACUCUGAUGACAGAAGCUCUGACAGGCCUGCUUCGGGGCAGGUCUGUCAGAGUAGAGACUGGGCGUGGUUUAGACUCACCCAGCCUAUCGUUGAUUGUUUGCGCAGAGCUGGUCCCAUCCCGCGGGCGCUCCAGCGGUCAGUCGUUAUAGUUGUGUAGAAUAUACAGUUAUCGGGCACCUGGCUCCUGUUAUCUAACACACUAUGUUCUGAAUGUGCCUCCCCAAACUCAUUGCACAGUUCCUGUCUUCAUGUUAUUCUGUAUUUUUCCAUCAUAAGAAAGGCCCAUGGCCCUGAAACUGUUAACAAUGUCUCAAGUCAGCUAUGUUGCAUAACACAUAUACCCACACAAGCCAACAGCAAAUAAUAUUCCAUCACAUAUGAUAUGGUAAGGGCUAUAGUGUAUAACACAGAACCUCACAAUCCCCCUUUGGCGCCCAAUGAAUUGUGUUAACUGCAGUGGCCAAAACAAGAACAAUGUUGUGCUCUGGUAUUGUGCCUGGUGGACCAUGCACAGGCUCCACCACAAUCUGGACCUUCACUUCCUGAUCAUAGACCACCUCGAGUUUGCACCCAACUGGUGCUUCGGCCUCAUCAAGCAGCGCUUCACAAAGACCAGAGUGGACUCUUUGUCUGAGAUUGCUAGUAUUGUGAAGGACAGCACUGUGACAGCAGUCAACAUCCCACAGCUGGUUGGACUGGAGGAUGGGACAGUGCUGGUGGAAAGCUAUGGCUGGCAACAACACCUGACUCUGUACUUCAGGCUGCUGCCACAGAUCAAGCUGUACCAGCACUUCAGGAGCCUUGUGAUGUCGCCAAAGAGCGUUCGGACUGUCAGGACCAGGUUUCAGCUGCUGCGCAACGCUGACAUCCUUCCUCCCAUAGAUAGUCUGCCUGCAAAAGCACCACCUGGACUGGACACAGCUAGACAAACAGUAUUUUUGGGAAGAUUGGGGACUUUUGCGACGAAGAGGCUAUGGACAUCACAUGCCCUGCACCAAAGUCAAGGGCAGGACAGAAACAGGCUCUCCGAAUAUAGAUUCCCUUGUUCAUGCGUGGUUUGGACGGACCAGUCAUCAGCGCUAAUCUGCAGUGACUCUAUUCACGUGACUCUGUCCUAACACACACGCCAUAUGUUGCUGCUACUAUUGUUUAUCCCGCUGCUCAGCCACUUCACCCCUGAUUGUAUGCCUAUAAUUACCUCGUCUAUCACUGAUAUUGUUAUUGAUAUUGUUCUUGUACAUACUGUAAAUUUUAUUCAUACUGACACUAUCUAUUUCUGAUAUUGCUACAAUGCAAGUAACCAUUCGGCUGUACAGUUUACACCUUCUGUAGAGACCAUCCACUUAGCAAGACUUGGCAAAAUAUUGAUAUAUGAAAUGAAUAUUGAUGUCUGGUUGUAACAUGAUUUUGUGACAUAACCACAACAAUAUCAUGUGACUGUAUCAAGUGUCCACCAAAUAAAUAUAUGGCGCAUGCAGCUGUUUAUGUACAGUACUGUUUAUGUACAGCAUGGUUUAUGUACAGCAAAAAAAACUCACUCAGGUUGCAUGGACUUAACUUAUGUAUAGAAUACUAUAUGAUAAGUGCAUGUGUAACAGUAUAUAAAGUAUGCUAAUGUACUGGUGUGAAGGCAUUUGGGCAGUGGUGUAAAGUAAUUAAGUAGUACUUUAAAGUAUUUUUUACUUAAGUCAUUGUUUAUGGUAUCUGUACAUUACUUUUAAUUUUUUUGGCAAUUUUUAAUUCACUACAUUCAUAAUGAAAAUAAUGUACUUUUUACUCCAUACAUUUUUCUUGACACCAUAAAGUACUCUUUACAUUUUGACAGGAAAAUUUUCCAACUCACACAUCCCUAUACAUCCCUACUGCCUCUGAUCUGGUAGACUCACUAAACACAAAUGCUUAAUUUGUAAAUUAUGUCUGAGUGUUGGUGUGCGCCUGGCUCUCCGUCAAUAAAAAUAAUAAAAUAGUGCAGUCUGGUUUGCUUUAUAAACGGAAUUUGAAAUGGUUAAUAUUUUUACAUUAACUUUUGAUACUUAACUUCAUUGUGCCCCUGGCUAUCCGUC
ensembl:lncRNA